UNAACGAUGAGUGCUAGGUGUUGANUCCUUUCCGGGAUUCAGUGCCGCAGCUAACGCAUUAANCACUCCGCCUGGGGAGUACGACCGCAAGGUUGAAACUCAAAGGAAUUGACGGGGGCCCGNNNNAANCGGNGGANCANNUGNUUUAAUUNGAAGCAACGCGAAGAACCUUACCAGGUCUUGACAUCCCGAUGCUAUUUNUAGNNNAUAGNAAGUUANUUCGGUACNUCGGNNACAGGUGGUGCAUGGUUGUCGUCAGCUCGUGUCGUGAGAUGUUGGGUUAAGUCCCGCAACGAGCGCAACCCCUAUUGUUAGUUGCCAUCAUUCAGUUGGGCACUCUAGCAAGACUGCCGGUAAUAAACCGGAGGAAGGUGGGGAUGACGUCAAAUCAUCAUGCCCCUUAUGACCUGGGCUACACACGUGCUACAAUGGUUGGUACAACGAGUUGCGAGUCGGUGACGGCGAGCUAAUCUCUUAAAGCCAAUCUCAGUUCGGAUUGUAGGCUGCAACUCGCCUACAUGAAGUCGGAAUCGCUAGUAAUCGCGGAUCAGCACGCCGCGGUGAGUACGUUCCCGGGCCUUGUACACACCGCCCGUCACACCACGAGAGUUUGUAACACCCGAAGUCGGUGAGGUAACCUUANGGAGCCA
rnacentral:rRNA from 1 species